GAUGAAGAACGCAGCGAAAUGCGAUACGUAAUGUGAAUUGCAGAAUUCAGUGAAUCAUCGAGUCUUUGAACGCACAUUGCGCCCCCUGGCAUUCCGGGGGGCAUGCCUGUCCGAGCGUCAUUGCUGCCCUCAAGCACGGCUUGUGUGUUGGGCCUCCGUCCUCCUCCCGGGGGACGGGCCCGAAAGGCAGCGGCGGCACCGCGUCCGGUCCUCGAGCGUAUGGGGCUUCGUCACCCGCUCUUGUAGGCCCGGUCGGCGCUUGCCGACACAUCAAUCUUUUUUCCAGGUUGACCUCGGAUCAGGUAGGGAUACCCGCUGAACUUAAGCAUAUCAAUAAGCGGAGGA
rnacentral:misc_RNA from 1 species